AACAGGAUUUAGAAGCUGGCAUUUUCUGCAUGAUAGUUGUCUAUCACAAAAUGGAAGCAAGGUCAUUAUACGAGCAGGAAUUUUUAUUAAACAAACGAAAACACACCAUUACGACGAUCAAAGUUAAUGAAUCUUUAGCCGACAAUAUUCGGAGAUCUCUCUCUAUAUUGAUUGACCGCAUGCCUGGACAUGGACAGUACAUCUCAACAUCGAAGGCCUGGUCUGAAAUUUCAAUCCCAAAGCCAUGCAGCUACCUGUUUUAUCGACUUCAACAAAGAUGACAGGCAAAGAAGUUGCGUCUACGGAAUUUGAACUCAGAACGUAAAGAUAGAGGGAAAUCCAAUCAGCUGUGACAAAUUGGAUGCUCCAGUUAUGGCCAUCACAUCGUCAUCAUCAUCCUCAUCGACGCCCGAAACUAGUUAAACAAAUGAAAGAAAUCUACGCCGUCACCUGUAACAUAAACCUCAAUGUUCUAAUCUAAAUAUUGAUAUAUGAAUUACGAAACUUUAAAAUAAAUAUAUAUCAGUGUUUUGUUUAACGCGUCUUUGCGAACCUAUAGUAAAGCAUCUUAAAUUUCACAAUUCGAAUCUCAUUUCAAAUUCUGUGUAUAACAAUGUAAUGUUAGUAGAACAUUUACGUAGCCCCAGCAGGGAAUAAUUUAGUGUUGAUUAUUAUUCAACUAGUUAUACGGACAAAAAUAUAUGCAAAUAAGCUCUUUUUAAGAGAAAUAGUUUUUUUUCUAACUUCAUGCACAAUAGCUAUCGCAUCUCAACUCAUACUGAUGUCACAAAAAUGUCUCUAUAUAUAUUUAUCGCUUAAAGGAUAUAUGUAGACAA